rnacentral:lncRNA from 1 species
UUAGAUCAAUUUUGCUUCCAUUUCAAAAGUCAAUACUAAAAUUCUGCACAUGAUCAAUUAGCAAAAGGAAGUUCUACACACAUUCAAUUGUAAAUUUUUGUAAACAAAAUAAACAUCUACUAUGAGCAACCAUUGAAAAUCCUUGUGCUUAAACGACUAAUCUCGUGAUCCAUUCCUUUCUUCCAACAUUCGAAGCAUGGUUUGUUCAAAUUCAUUGCGCUUCUUCUCUUCUUCGCGCUUAUCAUCUUCCAUUUUUUGAAGUAAUCCUACAUUUUUCCUUAUAAAUUGAUCUAUCUUCUCACAAGCAAAAUGAAAUUCCUCUUGUAAAGUGAUGAAAUUAAUGUGUCCAUUAUAUGGAAUGUUAGGUGAACCAGAGGAGGUGACAUCUUCGUGCAAAGAUUUUCAUUGAAUACCAAGCCCAUACAGGCGACCACCUUUGCAUGGACCUAGCGUUGCUUCACACCAUGCUUCAAUGUCAAUUUCAGGUUGUGACACAUUUGAACCAUAUUUUUCAUGAAUUGCAAUGUCAUAUUUUUCUUGUAAAAUAAGAAGCAGUUCAUAAAAGGAAAAGCCAAAACCAUAAAAAUGUUGCUGUCUUUGCCAACGGCCAGAAUAUAGACAAGCCAAAACCAUAAAAAUUGAAGGGUCAUUCAAGCCAAAACCAUAAUUUCCAUGUUUUGUGCAUUACCAAUCAGAAAAUACCAGAGCAAAUCAACAGGGAAAACAAACAACAAUGCAGAAUAUACACGAUAGUAUGUCCAGGGAGAUACAAAAGGAGAAGUGUUUAAACGUUCAAGUCGCUUAAUUAAUUAAGCUCCCAUGUGCAUCUGUAUUGAUAUCUACUGCUUGGUAGCAUAUAUUGAUAAAUACCUUUACAAAACAGAGCACAGCCAACAAAGUUGACCAUAAACCUGCUUGAGCUAUUGUUGGUGGGACCACUAGUGGAAGAAAAGUUUCCUGUCUAAGCACUCAUCAAUUCACAAAGAAAUAUGUUAUGGGGAAAUUUUUUUCCUAAGGACGCUUACACAAGUAUAUGUUUCACUCUAUAAGUUGCACAAGUGUUACUUCUAUCCCAAUUUAAAGAUAACUCUAAUACUGUUAAUCAUGGAAAAAGUCCUAUAAUCAAGAUAUCAAAUCACUGUCAAACAUAUACAUUAAACUUCUACGAGCAUAUAAAAUCUAAUAGCUCAUCUAUUUAUACUACUUCUAGCAUAUUCAUCAACUUGUAGGUUGCCAACAAGUAAUGAUUUAUUUACAAAACAAUCUGAAAACUACAAUUAGUGUCUAUGACCAUCUAACUAAUAACAAUGAAAGUCCAAUCAAAACUGAAUUUAUUUCUACUUACCCAUACAAUUCAUGACUUGUUGUCUACGAAGUCUCCCUCUCCAUUGUUUCUAAGAUGUACACGUUCGAAUAACCAUGAAGCAGUAGGUGGCUUACCUAAUUUCUCAUGCUGAAAACAAUCAAUAAAUGAAGAGUUUAGUUUGAAGUAUUCUUGAUUAGGAAUCAAAUAGCAUGUUAAUUUUCAACUUAAUUGCAAACAUAACAUGUUGAAUAUAAUGAUAGACUUGCUGGUUGGUUUAUUUUCAACUUAAUUGCAGACACAACAUGCUGAAUAUAAAGACUUUCCCAUAUUGAUUCCAGCCAGAACAAGCUGAAAAUGAAGACAAAACAUGCUAAUUUUUACCAAAUGAAAUUCAGACAGAGCAUGCUGAAUUUUUCCACAUCUUCCAUAAAAUGGAUACAAAAUGAUCUUCUAACGAAUGAAAUUUUGAUAUGUAGAAUAAGAUGCUCAUAUAUAACAUGUGAAUCGUCUAUGAAAUUUGAUCAUGCAAGUUAAACAUUACCAGCCUCUGCUUGUGGGACAACAUUCGUUAUCGAACUAGCAGUGUGCUUAGUGAUGGUUCCUGACUUUAUAGUCAGCCAGUUAUCAAUGCCAAGUUUAGACUUUUCUUCCAUACUUCAUUGUUCCACUUUUUCUCAAUUAUGUCAUUCAAGUGCUCUACACUUUACCAUGGUGGUCCAUAUCCCUUCCAAUCAAUUAUAUUUUUAGACUUACUAUUUUCCACUACCUUCUUUCGAGCCAAACAAAAUAUAUCUCGCAGUCGAUCGGUUGAGGCAGUAUUCCAUGCCACCUUCACCUCAUUAUCUUUAUUUUUUGGCCAUGAGUAUCGUUGCUAAUGUAGGUACCUACUAUUAGUACGGAAAAAAACAAUGAAAUCUUAUAAUAGCAAUCAGUAUAUUUAGAAGAAACUUAUAUUACCUGGAAUCUUUCCAACAAGAACUUUUUUAUGUCAACCAGCACCAAACUAAAUGUUGGAUAAGGUCCUCCCAAGUAAGCCUUCAAAUUGGCACUUACAACACAUGAUGCCGAGAUAGUAAUGAAUCUGCAAACAUAAAAUCAUUCGAACCAUAUCAGACUGGGAAAAAAGAAAACACCAUCUAAACUCUCAAGCUUUCAAACUGAAAUCCCCAAAAUAUAACAUAGACAAAAAUACCCUAUUCUAUUAACUUAAACCCCCCAAGAAAAAAGUUCAGAUAAAUACGUAUUGCCUCUCACAAUUAAAGGAAUUCUUCCCGAUUCAUCUGCACAACCAGUAGUACCGUGGUUAGGACCCCCUUUCCUACAAUCGGCAACAUCAUUAUCAUCUGCAGAAAGAGACCCAUUGUAUCCUCAGAUGCAUUCUCAUUCUCGUCACUAUCUUCCUCAUCUUGUACUAUAGAAACCCUAGGCAUGGAACUCAAUCGUACUAUACUAGUCAUCCUCAGCUGUGAAAAUCAGGCCCAUGUUAAAUGGUAGAAAAGUGGACGACUGAAGAAUGGGAUAUAUGGAGGGAAAAUAAGAGGGAAUAUGAGGGGGGAUGAGGGAGGAAUGGGAUAUAUGGAGGGAAAGGGGGGAAACGAGUGUAAAGAAAAAU